GGCUCCAUAGUGUGGUUAGCACGUUUGCUUUACACGCAGAAGAUCCUGGUUUCGCACCCCAGGUAAAGCCA
rnacentral:tRNA from 1 species